rnacentral:lncRNA from 1 species
CCAGGGCAAGAUCCGCGUAAAGCUCGCCGUUCGAGAGCGACCCCUGCCGCCACCGCCAGAUUACCAUAUUACCCCUCCUCCUAGCUAUUUUUACGGUGGUGCCCCUAUGCCCCCACCGCCUGUUCGCGACUUCAGGUCAUACUCGCCGUCGCCUUACAUCUCUACUUUACAAGCUUCGGCUCCUAGUCCAUCGCCUUCGCCACCGCCUCCGCCUUACCAUUACAGCUCCUAUUCCGAUCAGUACUCGAGUUACUAUCCAGCGUACUACUCCAGCGCGCCACCGCCUCCACCAAGGCCGUUCUUCGACCGACCGGUGAACUAUGGCGGGCCUAGUGGGAGUGGUGGGAGUGGUGGGCCUGGUGGGCCUUCAGCGCCAUUGGACUACUCGAAUUAUGAUCAGAAUCAGAAGCCCAAGAGUGGGAAGAUGGGAUUGGGCAC